UGGGGAAUUUUGGACAAUGGGCGAAAGCCUGAUCCAGCAAUGCCGCGUGUGUGAAGAAGGCCUUCGGGUUGUAAAGCACUUUUGUCCGGAAAGAAAUCCUUGGCUCUAAUACAGUCGGGGGAUGACGGUACCGGAAGAAUAAGCACCGGCUAACUACGUGCCAGCAGCCGCGGUAAUACGUAGGGUGCAAGCGUUAAUCGGAAUUACUGGGCGUAAAGCGUGCGCAGGCGGUUUGCUAAGACCGAUGUGAAAUCCCCGGGCUCAACCUGGGAACUGCAUUGGUGACUGGCAGGCUAGAGUAUGGCAGAGGGGGGUAGAAUUCCACGUGUAGCAGUGAAAUGCGUAGAGAUGUGGAGGAAUACCGAUGGCGAAGGCAGCCCCCUGGGCCAAUACUGACGCUCAUGCACGAAAGCGUGGGGAGCAAACAGGAUUAGAUACCCUGGUAGUCCACGCCCUAAACGAUGUCAACUAGUUGUUGGGGAUUCAUUUCCUUAGUAACGUAGCUAACGCGUGAAGUUGACCACCUGGGGAGUACGGUCGCAAGAUUAAAACUCAAAUGAAUUGAC
rnacentral:rRNA from 1 species